GCUCGGGUGGCGAAAUUGGUAGACGCAAGGGACUUAAAAUCCCUCGGUCGCAAGACUGUGCGGGUUCGAGUCCCGCCCCGAGCACCA
rnacentral:tRNA from 2 species